rnacentral:rRNA from 1 species
AUUGAACGCUGGCGGCAGGCCUAACACAUGCAAGUCGGACGGUAGCACAGAGGAGCUUGCUCCUCGGGUGACGAGUGGCGGACGGGUGAGUAAUGUCUGGGGAUCUGCCCGAUAGAGGGGGAUAACCACUGGAAACGGUGGCUAAUACCGCAUAACGUCGCAAGACCAAAGAGGGGGACCUUCGGGCCUCUCACUAUCGGAUGAACCCAGAUGGGAUUAGCUAGUAGGCGGGGUAACGGCCCACCUAGGCGACGAUCCCUAGCUGGUGUGAGAGGAUGACCCGCCACACUGGAACUGAGACACGGUCCAGACUCCGACGGGAGGCAGCAGUGGGGAAUAUUGCACAAUGGGCGCAAGCCUGAUGCAGCCAUGCCGCGUGUAUGAAGAAGGCCUUCGGGUUGUAAAGUACUUUCAGCGGGGAGGAAGGCGAUGUGGUUAAUAACCGCGUCGAUUGACGUUACCCGCAGAAGAAGCACCGGCUAACUCCGUGCCAGCAGCCGCCGUAA